GGUGGCGAGCGGCGGACGGGUGAGUAAUGCCUAGGAAAUUGCCCUGAUGUGGGGGAUAACCAUUGGAAACGAUGGCUAAUACCGCAUGAUGCCUACGGGCCAAAGAGGGGGACCUUCGGGCCUCUCGCGUCAGGAUAUGCCUAGGUGGGAUUAGCUAGUUGGUGAGGUAAUGGCUCACCAAGGCGACGAUCCCUAGCUGGUCUGAGAGGAUGAUCAGCCACACUGGAACUGAGACACGGUCCAGACUCCUACGGGAGGCAGCAGUGGGGAAUAUUGCACAAUGGGCGCAAGCCUGAUGCAGCCAUGCCGCGUGUAUGAAGAAGGCCUUCGGGUUGUAAAGUACUUUCAGUCGUGAGGAAGG
rnacentral:rRNA from 1 species